rnacentral:rRNA from 1 species
UACGGAGGGGGCUAGCGUUGUUCGGAAUUACUGGGUGUAAAGCGCACGUAGGCGGCCGUUUAAGUUAGAGGUGAAAGCCCGGGGCUCAACCCCGGAAUUGCCUUUGAUACUGGACGGCUUGAAUCCGGGAGAGGUGAGUGGAAUUCCGAGUGUAGAGGUGAAAUUCGUAGAUAUUCGGAAGAACACCAGUGGCGAAGGCGGCUCACUGGACCGGCAUUGACGCUGAGGUGCGAAAGCGUGGGGAGCAAACAGG